rnacentral:rRNA from 1 species
CCCUUAGAUGUUCUGGGCCGCACGCGUGCUACACUGAGUGGAUCAGCGGGUCAGGUUGCGCGAAAGUGUUUCCUAAUCUUUAAAUCCGCUCGUGAUGGGGAUUGACGGUUGCAAUUUUCCGUCAUGAACGAGGAAUACCUUGUAAGCGCGGGUCAUCAUCCCGCGCUGAAUACGUCCCUGCCCUUUGUACACACCGCCCGUCGCUCCUACCGAUUGAGUGGUCCGGUGAGGCUUUGGGAUCUGCGGAAAGAGCGUUUCGCUGUUUCUGCCCGGAAAACUCAGUCGAACCUUAUCAUUUAGAGGAAGGAGAAGUCGUAACA